rnacentral:sRNA from 1 species
CAAGACAUUAAAUUCACCUAUUACAAAAAGUAUUCGUGGUUUAGUUGGUACUUUUUGUAAUAUGUGAAUUUUUUUCUUUUGGAAGAAUUGCGAUCUUAUUAAAUUUAAUUAAUUGGAGGUCAUUUAAAUGACACAAGGUACAGUAAAAUGGUUUAACUCAGAAAAAGGUUUCGGUUUCAUCGAAGUUGAAGGCGGUUCUGACGUAUUCGCUCACUUCUCAGCUAUUCAAGGCGACGGUUUCAAAACUCUUGAAGAAGGUCAAAAAGUUGAGUUUUCAGUAGAAGACGGUCAACGUGGACCACAAGCUACAAACAUCGUAAAACUUUAAUUUUAAUGAUGUAAUCAUAAAAGAGGGAUCCUUACAUUAGGAUUCCUCUUUU